GACGAACGCUGGCGGCGUGCUUAACACAUGCAAGUCGAGCGGUAAGGCCCUUUCGGGGGUACACGAGCGGCGAACGGGUGAGUAACACGUGGGUGACCUGCCCUCAGCUCUGGGAUAAGCCUGGGAAACUGGGUCUAAUACCGGAUAUGACUCCAUGACGCAUGUUGUGGGGUGGAAAGCCUUGUGCGGCUGAGGAUGGGCCCGCGGCCUAUCAGCUUGUUGGUGGGGGAUGGCCUACCAAGGCGACGACGGGUAGCCGGCCUGAGAGGGCGACCGGCCACACUGGGACUGAGACACGGCCCAGACUCCUACGGGAGGCAGCAGUGGGGAAUCUUGCGCAAUGGGCGAAAGCCUGACACAGCGACGCCGCGUGAGGGAUGACGGCCUGGUGUAAC
rnacentral:rRNA from 1 species